CCAAAGGUGGUAUAGAUUUGUCUGAAAGGCUGUAGAGAGCAUGUUUCUGAGUUGAGAGCUUCGGCAUUGCCCCAGGAUGUCAGAAGAGUCUGCAGGUUCCUCGCUCUUGCGGUCAAAUCUUGGCUAGCUCCAGACCCUGGUGCGUUACCCUGAUAAUGGACUCAAGCUCCUUCUCUACAUGCAUCUCCAAAAAGUCUGAUGUUUCUGGCGUGAAUUUCACAUUUGCAUGGAACCUGAUUUGGAAAGGACAUAAAAUUUGCAUGGGAAACAAACCUUGCAUGCAGAAGUGCUAAGGACAGGGGCAAUGCAACUUCCUUUGAGACUGGAGCCAUUUCCACAGUGCC